rnacentral:lncRNA from 1 species
GGAGUUUUACUUUUUCUGCUUUCUUUCAUUUGAUAUAGUCAUUCUUCAUGACUAGAGUUUAUCACAUUCCAAGAAUCUGGGAAAUAAAGUCCUAAUUUCCUAAGAGUUUCUUGCAGCCCGGUCUUCUUAGUAGAAAUCUCUUGUUGAAGAAGAAUCCCUUGAUGGAGAGAGGCUUCUGCAAUCUCCAAUGCCAGCCUAGAAGCCGCUACCAUGUUCUGCACAAGGAAAGUGGCCUUGGUCUUAAUGCCUAGUCCAGCCCCGAG